UCAAAGGUGUCAAAAAGAGUGUGCGGA
rnacentral:piRNA from 1 species